rnacentral:rRNA from 1 species
UACAGAGACUGCAAGCGUUAUUCGGAUUCACUGGGCGUAAAGGGUGCGCAGGCGGCCGAGUGUGUGAGGCGUGAAAGCCCGGGGCUUAACCCCGGAAUUGCACCUCAAACUACACGGCUAGAGCAUUGGAGAGGGUAGCAGAAUUCAUGGUGUAGCAGUGAAAUGCGUAGAUAUCAAUGAGGAAUACCAGAGGCGAAGGCGGCU